GUGCCUAAUACAUGCAAGUAGAACGCUGAAGAGAGGAGCUUGCUCUUCUUGGAUGAGUUGCGAACGGGUGAGUAACGCGUAGGUAACCUGCCUGGUAGCGGGGGAUAACUAUUGGAAACGAUAGCUAAUACCGCAUAAAAUUGAUUAUUGCAUGAUAAUUAAUUGAAAGAUGCAAUUGCAUCACUACCAGAUGGACCUGCGUUGUAUUAGCUAGUUGGUGAGGUAACGGCUCACCAAGGCGACGAUACAUAGCCGACCUGAGAGGGUGAUCGGCCACACUGGGACUGAGACACGGCCCAGACUCCUACGGGAGGCAGCAGUAGGGAAUCUUCGGCAAUGGGGGGAACCCUGACCGAGCAACGCC
rnacentral:rRNA from 1 species